GCAGCAGUGGGGAAUAUUGACGCAAUGGGGGAAACCCUGACGCAGCAACGCCGCGUGCGGGAUGAAGGCCUUCGGGUUGUAAACCGCUUUCAGCAGGGAAGAUAGUGACGGUACCUGCAGAAGAAGCCCCGGCUAACUACGUGCC
rnacentral:rRNA from 1 species